AACGGGAUUCCCUAGUAGCGGCGAGCGAAGCGGGAAGAGCUCAAAUUUAUAAUCUGGCACCUUCGGUGUCCGAGUUGUAAUCUCUAGAAAUGUUUUCCGCGUUGGACCGCACACAAGUCUGUUGGAAUACAGCGGCAUAGUGGUGAGACCCCCGUAUAUGGUGCGGACGCCCAGCGCUUUGUGAUACAUUUUCGAAGAGUCGAGUUGUUUGGGAAUGCAGCUCAAAUUGGGUGGUAAAUUCCAUCUAAAGCUAAAUAUUGGCGAGAGACCGAUAGCGAACAAGUACCGUGAGGGAAAGAUGAAAAGCACUUUGGAAAGAGAGUUAACAGUACGUGAAAUUGUUGGAAGGGAAACGCUUGAAGUCAGACUUGCUUGCCGAGCAAUCGGUUUGCAGGCCAGCAUCAGUUUUCCGGGAUGGAUAAUGGUAGAGAGAAGGUAGCAGUUUCGGCUGUGUUAUAGCUCUCUGCUGGAUACAUCUUGGGGGACUGAGGAACGCAGUGUGCCUUUUGGCGGGGGUUUCGACCUCUUCACACUUAGGAUGCUGGUGGAAUGGCUUUAAACGACCCGUCUGAAAACCCGGGACCA
rnacentral:rRNA from 1 species